AAUUCCCGAGUUGGGGGCCCAUUGGCCUGGGCCCGCGACGGGACUGCGAGGAAUCUGGAUGUUGCAGAGAAGGGAGGCUCGCGAUGAGAAAGCCGGGUCUCCAGAGGAGUCACCCCCCCUGGGGCAGGGGCGAGGGCAGCAGGUGGCACGGAGAAGGGCGAUGGCAGCUCUGGCUCACCAGACCUCAGACCAGACCGCGCCGGGGCAGAGGCCGAGCCUUGGCCCUGAGAACCAGCCCUGCCCCUCCUGGAGCCCCCGUACCGGGCUUCCCCGGGGCCGAGCCCCGCAGCACUCCGCCCCCGCCUGCACGGCCCCCGCAGCAGGACCUGCACGUCCCCGGCCCCGGAGAAGACCGCGCUCCCGCACCGCAGCCUGCAGAGAGCGCGUGUGCCCAAAGCCUUCGGAUGACCACGCCCACAACAGCUACGCCCCCUGGUGACCACGCCCUCUGACGUCACCCUCCAGCUUGGCUAGACACCAGGGCGCUGCCGCCCACUUUGUCUCCUGAAAAACCCUCCCGGUCCUGAAUCCUCUCUGUUCGUGUAAGUCCGAUGCUGCUUUUGCAGUGUCACCACUUUCUUGGGGCCUUCCCUGACUACCUCAGCUGUACUCCAGUUCACUCUCUUACCCUCCAGGACGGUGCACUCUGGGUUGUUUUGGUUUUAGCAGAGUCGUUUCCACAGCUAUAUAUUGUCAGAUCCCGAAGGGAUCUGGGCAGUGGGUGGGAACGCCAGGUUUGGGUCCCCUCUCUCAGGGCACGACAGUGAAGGAACUGGUAAGGUUUUGUUUUGUUCUUCCAAGCUGCAGGGUCCGGGACUCAAACCGUGGAAGAGGCCAUGUGGGCUUCAGCGCUGUAGCCAUGCCAUCUGCUGGCCCGGGAACUGGUGGUUUUGCUCAAGCAAAGGUGGUCUGCAGGAGUGACACCGCGCCCUGUUACAGCUUGCACUCUGACCUUCCAAAGUGCUUUUCAUUCCUGCAGGCGGAUCUGGUCUCGGGGGUGGCUACACGGGAAUCUCAAAAGCUCCCCAAAGCUUUCUAAUGGGCAGAGAGGGCUGGGCCCUCCCAUCUAAGGGUAUCCUGCGGUGUGAUUCCGUGGACAGCUCAUGAGCUUUGGAGACAGACGGCCCAGAGUUCAAACCCCAACUCCGUGUCUGUGCAACCUGGCCACUCCGGACCUCAGUGACCUUUGUCACCCAAGUGGGUAUCAAAUGCCCAGUGCCCAGAAUGUACAGUGGAGACAGACCUAACAAAUAGGAGCUCCCAAGAAUGACAGUCCCCAAGCCUCCUCAGGCCAAGACCUUCACUGAGAUAGACCCUCAGUUCUCUAAUCUGGGGUCCUAUGGAGAUAGCAUAGCUCUUUCAAAACAGGAGACCCUACCAUCAGCCGUAACCGCUUUACAGAGCUGGGUAAGAAAAGCCUUCAUUUUACUUACUUAUUUUUUUAAAAGAGAGAGGUUUUUUUUGCUACAGGCCUUCCCUGACGACCUCAGCUCUCCAUCCCAGGUGACUGUGACAUGGGGCUGACAGUCACCAACCAUGAUGCACCUUCUCCGGUAUCACCCCAGCCUGGGUGGUUCGAGUCGUGUCCUCACCUUCUCUCUCAUCCCUUGGAUGCACUGUGCCUCUGCGCCUGUGACUGCCUGGGUCCCCGAUGUCCUUCUCUAAAUUCCCACUGCAAGGUUCAGCCCAAAGGUCACCGCUCAAAGCCUCCCCGCUGCCCCAGCCGCCGGGCCUGGUGCCUCUUGCUGAGGCCCACCACGUCGGUGUUAGCUGUAGACCCAGCUAGGAGGGCUGGUCUCAUGCCUCUUAGACCCCAGGACAAGCGCUCAGCAAGAGACUCCCACUUCUCCGUUGCCUUUCUGCUCGAUUUAUUUCAGCCCAAUUCAAUACAGUUCAGCUCGCGCAGCCCACCCAGAGGCCACGCACAGACCCGGUCCAGAGGCCAGGCCAGGAACCGCAUCCCCGGGACAUGACGGCUACUCACACAAAGCGCUGAUCAGCAGGGCCGGCCGCCCCUGCACCUGCGGCCGCCUGGACCGCUGUAGGCCGCCCCACUGCGCGCCCCUCCCUACUGGACUCCAGGCAGUCCCCAAUGACGACACUGCGAGCCGGGUAGGUGGUGUCACACCCAUCGCGCUGUGGGGCCUCCGGCCCUCGGUUCCCACGGGGCCCUCGGGUGCAUGACCUGGUUCAUCUCCCACGAGGUAAGAGCACCCGGAGCCCGAUGGAACCGCAGCUCGAUCGCGGUUCGCCCAGGUCCAGCCCUACUGCCAGCCACGCCGGCCUGGUGUCCUGGGAACUCCCCGCCCAGAAACAAAGCACA